ACGCAAAUAUAAUCUGUUCUCUUGUUGAUAGUGCACGAACGUUCAAACGACAGUGUAAACAACGGAACAAGAGUGUGUUGAGUGAAAAAAUUUGCACCUACCAUCGAUGUGCAUUAUGAUAAUUUGCUAAUCACUAUCAAAAGUGAGGGUACAUACUUAGUUAAUGAAAAGUGGCGUGUUUUUUUGUUCUCUGGACACAAUAUGUAAUGUUGAGAGCAAUAUCAGAAGGAUGAUUGAUGUCAGAAACAGUUUUAUGGUGCAGUGACUAGAUAAGAAAUCAUGAUGAUUGGCGGGAAGAGUCAUAGACAAAAAGAAGAAGCAGAUUUUUUUUCACUAUGUGGCGUCUCCAUUUUGGCCCGUGGGAAAUAACAGCGGAUAAACGACAUGUUACUGAAGUCAGACAUCAUUCCCAAAGUGAAUUUCGCAAAUACAUGGAAAAUUGCGUAAUUUCUUACGAACCGAAGAUAAUAAAUUACCCUGCCCUCAAUCCAUGAACUUUCAGAUUCUGUCAGUGAUAAACGAUGAAAUUUUUGUUGGCGAAUAACUGAUUUUUCGGAGUUACUUUUUGUUUUACAUAACUUCCGAACGAUUAUGAAGAGGGCCAACUUUUAAUCUUUUGAUUGAAGAACGAAAGCUCUUAAAUGAAACACGAGGUUCUUGGAGAUUGUUACCAAUCUUUUUGAUUUGACGUCACUUCUGAGCUUAUGAUAUUAUUAUUGUUAUCACAAAUACUGAAUUAUUGGUGUUGGCCAAGAAGCUUAUAUGUGUAUUAGAGGAUAUAAGCUUCUUGGUGUUGGCAAUCAAAAUUGAUAUUCAAUUGAAUUCGAAUUAUAA